CCAUUUGACCCCCAACAAAAUUAAAAAUACCCAUUUUGUACUCAAUUAAAAAAAAGGAACGAAUCAGACUUUUGCAAGAUCGAUUUGCUAUCGACGAGAAGCAGAAGCCAUGAUCGUCGCAUGCUGGUCGUCGAACGCAACAGAGUCAGUUGUCGUGCAUCAUCAUCACACACAUCACCAUUGCACGCUAUGCAAAUCGUCAGCCUCGCUCCACUGAUCGUCACUUGUCGUCUGCAGUACCCCUCGAUCGUCGCUGCCACUCUCCGAACUUCACUGCUACUUGUCAAUAAAAAAGUUGCUGCCGUCACUGUUGCUUGCCGGUGAUUUAUAAUUUUGUUGUUAUGAUG
rnacentral:lncRNA from 1 species